UCAGUCUCCCAAAGUGCUGGGAGGUGUGAGCCACUACGCUGGCUACCAUUCAUUUUUUAACCAUUUAAGACAUUCUCUGUAUACUGAAACCCAGAAGCAGCAUCCUCCCCAGCUUCAGAUGAAAGUCUUAGAGCUGAUGGAGAACCAAUUUCGAGUUGGAAUGUGGAGGCUAUUUCUGGCCUUUGUGACAUCCUGUUCAACUUUCAGAGGAGCCUGAGAAGAAAGGGGUGACUCAGGCUAUAAGCUUAUUUUUAGGAAAAGCUAAGAAUUCAGUCAGAGCCACUCAGAUUCUCCAUUGUCUGCCAUACAGAGUGUGAUGUUGGUGGAGAGGUUACUGGGCAGAAAUGCUGCGUUUAUCACCUGAUUGUUAUCCAGCACCUCCCACGUGCCAGUACAAGGUUUACUGAUUUGAAAGAGGGUAGAGAUCACUUUUAAAAGAGGGUAAAAUACACUUUUAAAUCAGUGGAGCAUAUUUCAAGGCAUUUAUAUUUGAGAACUAAUUUUGGGGCCAAAGAACUAGUACUGUAAGAGCUUCUGUGAUUUGGUACUUAAUAUAUACUAUGUUAUGGUAAGUGUUUUGCAAAUACUAAUGCAUUUAAUGGAAACAGUGAUACUCUAUUAGAGGAAUUCAUAUCACUGUUUUAACAGGAAAGGAACUGUUAACUUGAGGAGGUUUAACAUUAGCCCAAGACCAGGUAGCUGAGUCCAGAUUCAAACUCAGAUCUGUCUGGCUCUAAACCCAUGCAAGUGACCCCUCCAGGUUUGGCAAUUAAGAGGCUCACAUAUCGCCACUCUUUGUUCCUGUGUGUCACUAAUUGAUCAUGGAAUUAUUUCUUGCUUAGCUCAGAUUUGACCUCAGGAUCCUUUUCAACACAAUGCUACAGGUAGCCACUCCUCCCAAUUGAGCAAUGGUAGUACUUGAAGUAGUGUCUAUUUGCCAUCUUAGCUUUAUCUUUCUCUGUAUUUACUCAAAGUAAAAUCUUUAAAUCUGUAGAGGUUUGUUGUUUAUUUCUACAGAUGUAUUUAUAAUCUUUUAUUGCUUAAUCACUUGUAAGAAAUGGAGUAUUCAAUUUCCUUUUAUAGUCACUGGAAACUCUGCAUGCUUUAAUAGAGGAUCCUAACUGCCUUGGAGAGAAGAAUGACAUCUUAGGACUCAAAGCCUUGAUACAGGCAACUGGCUUAUGUGCCAUUGUGGUGGUGAUGAGUGAGAGAUGGGGAAUCAGCCUGAAGAGCUCAAGCUGUAUAGCAGUAAAGGUUUCAGUUAGCCCAGUCUGGUUAAUUACAGCUGGUUGGUGAGGUGGGGUUGGGAGAUGUGGUGGGAAGGCUAAAGAAGCAAGAUGAUGGGAUAGAUUUGGGGGUUGCAUACACACCUUCAGUUGCUGUGAAAUGUUUCAGCUCAGCCUACAGGCCUCUUGUCCUAAAAGUAUAGCACCACGUGGGGCUGUGGGUCCCUCCAGGGAGAAAGGAGUUCCUUAAAAGCAAACUCAGAUAAGAGAAUGGGGAAUACACCCCCAGGAUGGUAGUGAGGGGAGAACCUAGAACCCAGCCAUGCAGGAGGAUGAGGUAUAAAUCAGUCCAGGAAGAAAUCCAUGGACAAUAUCUAAAACUGAAACAUCAAGAAAUAGUAAUAGAAAUGUAUUGCUUAGAAAGGUGGAGGUGAUCAUGAUUUCUUCACGAUUCCAGAUGAUUGAGCUGAAAUGGAGGAGUUAGACAGUUACAACGUAUGGAAAGUAGUGCAGGUGUAUCACCAACACAGGUACAUUCAAUAAAAUUAAAACUUUUUGUUUUACUUUCAAAAAAAAAAGCAAAAAAGCAAGCUCAGGCCAGCAGUGGCUGGUGGUCUGUCAGCAUGGAAUGUGUACCUUAGCCACAGGCCAGGGCUUUAGGGCCAGGACUCCAGGACUUGGGAAUGGGAUGGGUCAUUCUGAAAGCUGAUUAUCAGAAUGCGGAGGCCAGAGCUGGACCAGCUGUCCAGGUGUUGAUGUGGAGAAUGUGCGUGUGUGUGUGUGUGUGUGUGUGUGUGUGUGUGUGUGUGUGUGGAACUGCAUCUAUUUACAUACUCCUUGUAUGAUGUUAGGGUUACUGAGUUGACCUACAGUGGUACUUGACCUGCAGGAAAGGGAUAAAUAUGGGCAUCAUGGCAAGAAGUCGGACCAGUGAGCAGCUUUUAAUCUCACAAAGCCUUUUCCAGGACUAAUGAGAGGGACCACGGAGAGGGGUGAUCCCCCAGAAUCAACCAGAUCAAGUUCCUGAUAAAUGGGUCAUUUAUGGCUAACCAGCUGGACACAAAAUGCCAAUGAACACCCCGAAUGAACAACACUCGUCAGUCAAAAUGCUGAUUUAGAGGGUCAGUGUAUACAAAUAUACUCCAUAUAUUCUCACUGUGGGAGGGAGCAAGAAGGCUUGGAGUGUGUUUCUCUAAAAUGCAUGGUAAUAAUCCUAAUCUUUAGCCUCUUCUGGCCAUCUGAAAUGAGAUUGACGCAGUUAAAAUAAGACUGUAUAACUAACAUGACACUGGGUAUGCAGGUCAGAGCAGGGCUGAUGUCAUCAACGGCGAUCUCUGCAGUCACAUAGGCUCCCCACUUUGUUAAAUGCUCCAUAGCCAUAUUGAAAUUCUUAAUAACUUUAGGACCAGGGGCCCUGCAUUUUCAUUUUGCCCUGGACCCUGCAAAUUAUGUAGCCAUCAGUGGGUUGCCAUACCCCACCCCCCCCCAAGUUCUAGACACCAGAGCUUUGCUGUGUUGAAAUUAUAUAGGGGAAAAAUGUAAUUUAGAGCAUAAAUAAACCCCCAUACUUUCAGCAAUUGAACAGUCUAGUACAGGUAUUUCUUGCCAGUGGACAGCUUUCCUUGAUGUGGUUUCUACCAUUUACAACUCUGCUAUCUCCCAAGGCCUCAGAAUCCUUUGCCUCCAGCCUGUCAAAGGAGAGAGGAUGAAGAGGUACACUUACUUCUUAACUGCCUUGAUCAGGAAGUGACUCACAUUAUCCCUCUCAUGAUCUGGAGAACUAUUCAUAUGACCCCACCUAGAAGGCUAGAAAACAUGAUGCCUGGCUGGGUGGAUGCUUUCCAGGGGUGCCUCCAUCCUAUGGGAGGAAAAGCGCAAAUUUAGGUGGAUCAUUAGCCUUCUCUGCUACAUAGAUUGUUAGUGAAGGAUCCCUGAUGCAAAAGCAGGCAUUUCAGCGCAAACUACUGUGCAUGGAUCAGGAAAGGUAGGAAUCCAGGUCUUUUUUUUUAAUCACAGAGGCCAGUCUCUUAGCCUCAUCAGUUCAUUGUUAUUAAGGAUGUUUUCAAGUUCCAGAAUAGGAAGAAAAUAGAAUCAGAAUAGUCUGUGUUUGUUUGCUUGCUUGCUUAUGUAUUUAUUUCCAAGAAUAUGUUUUCAGGAAAAAAAAAGAAACACUAACACAUUAUAAUGUACACAUUAACUGUAAGAUGCAUUGCUAUUUCAGUAACAUGUGAGAAGAAACACAAUAGCAUAUCUUAGAAUUAAGGAAAUCUAGUAAUUGUCACUGUGAAUUUUUCACAAAUCCUUUUACUAGCUUCAUGAAGUCCUUAAUAGUGUUCAUAGGAGACGGCCAUGUGUUGGCACUUGGAUCUGGUAGGUUUUGCCUGACUGAAUCGAAAUGCUGUUAGCCAGGGUAGGCACCACCUGUUGAACAGCACACCCUCUCGUUGAAUUUGUCUCAUGGAACCUCAUUUCUGGGUGUGUGUUAUCCAAGCUAGGAGCCCUCAAGAUCAUCUAAGAUCUAAGCUGGAAAGAGAUCUACCUUGGAGACACAUUUACUUUCCCUCCUGAGAUGCUGGUGAUUUUGCAAGUAGUGAUCAGAGACCUAGAAAGCUUCAAGAGCUCUGUAGGAAAUAUGUCCUGGUCAGUUCUCAUCAGCCCGACAACCUGAUGUGGCUCCUGAGGGAACCGGCUGCAGGAGGCAGGAAAGCAAGUUAGCAUCAACACAAAGGAGCUGGCACUAUAGUACCAAUCCUCUUUCACCUACUCCUCCUCUACCCUAGUAGACACUAUGGGAAGACAAGGUAGAGACAGUUGCUUGGAAUUCCUAGUGUCUGCAUUUGACAGGUAUGGGCUCCUUCAGAGUUAACGGAGCAGAUGAGGUUAACUGCCAUCUAAACAAAGGCAGUGGCUGUAAAUAUACUCCUAGGAGCUUAGGAGCCCCUUGGCUAUGUUCCAAGCUAGAGAGUCCAAAGAAAAUCGAAGACUGCCACUUAACAGCUAUUUUGGCCAUCCUGAAAGUCCCCCACCUUCUCCCAGGCAGCUCCAGAGAAAGAUAACUCCCAGUCAGGCUCUGACAGCUGAAUCGAAUGGUCCGGUGGUAGCACUGCCCUUGCCAAAACCACUUGUAUUCCCCAAGGGCCUUCAGCUUCAGGAUGCAGCCAAGUUUCAUGCUUUAUCCUGAGUUAAGCCGAGACCAUCACCUGCCUGGAUGUUGUUUUGUCUGUGUCACCUCAUCACUGGAGAAAACACAUUGCCACCUCCUGCAAUUUCUUUCACAAAAAUGGAGCAUGGCAUUGAGGCAAUAAGAUAGUGUGGCAUCUUGGUGGGUCAGAAACAAUAUCAUCUACAUACAUUAGUUAUAUUUUAAAAUUCAACUUGCACACAAUUGGGGUUCUUUUAAUUAACUCUAAGCUAUAAUCUCAGUCUGGGUUUGAAUGGAUCUGCAUUUUAAUAGCUUCUUCCUCCAAAAUAUUAUUUCUAUGGCAAAUAAGCAGCCCUUCCUUGUAAUGCUGAAAUCAUAGAGGUUGGUUGUUUUUCCUUCAUUUUUCGACAUUCUUUCUGCAGUAGUAAUGAAAUCAAGCAGCUGUCAUUUGGCUUUUUGGUAGUUGAAGUUAAUUUGUCAGUUUCCUGACAGUCUUCUAUUACAUACACAUUUUUCUGGUUAGCUGACAAAUCAGAAUGCUAACGAUGGCAGGGUAAAGAAGACUGGCAAAUUUUACUUCUGUGGGCUUUACCAAAAUCAUAAUUGGUUGAUUUUUCCUUUAGAUGUUUCAGGAUAAAGGAUUUUUAAUUUUUAAUAAUAUUUUCUUUAUUGCAAAUAAAAAAGUGAAAUAUACAAAACAGUGGAAAAAAUGAAAUAACUUAAAUGUGCCCGGCAUGGGGCCUUACACUUAAUCGGUAUGUUAACAUUUUUAAAGAAGGCAAAAUGCCUGUUAUGUCAUCACCAAACGUGUGGCAAAUUUUUUUGGCAUUGAUUGUAUAUAUUUGUAGUUAUACUCUAUACAAAUUUUGCAUCAAGCUUUUUUCAUUUAACAUUUUCAUAAAUAAUUUCUCAUGCUGUUAUAAACUCUUCAUAAACAUAAUUUUAAUUGGCUAUGUAAUUGUUUUUUAGGAGUACAUUUGGCUGCAAGUAUCUGAAAACCUGGGAAAUAACAGCUUAAGAGUUUUGUUUUUGUUUUCAUGGAAGAAGAUAUUGAGACAAGGGAAUAAGGAGUCAUUGAGGCCAUCUUGCAGCUCUGUCUCUCUUAGCAAUGGCGGCUCCCAGGCAAGCACAGGGCUCUCCCAGAGAAAAGAGGGAAUUGCUCCCGCCUGCAGACUCAACCAUGUGAUCACCCUAGCUCAAAAAAUAUCUGGGAAGGUGAGUUGAUAACUCUCCAGCCUUUGUAGUGGAGGAAUAUGGGUUUCUUAGAAUAAAAUGACUUGAAUUUGAAUUACUGCGUCAAAGAACAGUUGAUUAUUUUUUCCUGAAAUUCCAGUCUGAUUGGUGAAGAGCAAGAUUUAAAAGCCUGUACUUCAUUUACUACCAUCUCAUUUGGUGCUGGAAACACAAAUGUACAACCAGUCAUAAAAGUAGGAUCAACCCAAAAACUGUGGCUAUCAGUUUCAGAAAGGCAGCUGUCAGUGCAAGAUAAGGAAAACAUUCCUCAAUAUUUAGAGUUGCCUCAAUUUGAAAUCAACAACUUCAUGGGAUGGUGAGCAACCUUUCCCAAGGUGCAGAGACUGAAUAGAUACUUGGUAUAUAAACAAAAGAGGUAAUUUACACAUUUGGUAAAGUAGACCAGGUGGCCUGUAACACCUGGGCACCUCCAUGAUUUUACAAUUAGGGUACAUUUGCUAAAAUAUUUCCCCAAGCACCCAGAACAUCCUUUGUAUGGUGGAACCCUGCUCCAAUGUUGCUUCAGAUCAAACAGUAGCCUGAAAUAUAGCUGAGUAGAGUAGUUGCCUGAGAUAGGAAGAAUUCACCUCCCAGGCUUCUGACUCUGGGGCUGUGGAAAAGCUCUAUUUUGGGUUUGGGACCAGCCAUUAUCUGGGUCAGGCUCAUAUACCAGCCCUAUCCAAAGUUACGCAUCUGAUUUCCUCACUGCCUGUUAACAUGACUUUAUUAUUUUUCCUGAUGCCAUGGAUUUCUUCUUUUGUAUCAACAAAAUGUACAUGCUCCUUAUGUAAAAGGUGAUAUAAAUUCUAUCUUUGACAUUACCCAAUUAUAAAACAAAGUAAAACAUAAAAACAAUUUCCUUUUAUUUGCAAAAAUGGUCUUUCCAAAGCAGUUUUACUAUCUCAUUUUAUCUGAAGUCCAGCUUAAAGCUGUGAAGUCAUGUGUGAUUAAUAAGCAUGUGUCUGAGUUUAUGUAACUCAGUCAACAAAUAUUUUUUGAACAUUUUCUACAUUAUAUUUGUGGGUGCUGAGAAUGUCAUAGUAAAUACAUGACAGUCUCUGCCCUUACGGAGCUUGCAUUCUAGUGGGAGACCAGGGAGGAACAAUUUACAAAUAAACUAGUGAAUAUACACUAUGUCAGUUUGUAGCUCACAGACUAGGUUGUGCUGGGGAGGAGGAUACCUCCAUAGAAUAUUCAAGAAAAACCUUACUAAUAAUGUAGUGUUGGAGUUGUG